UCCUACGGAAGGCAGCAGAAGGGAAUCUUCCGCAAUGGACGAAAGUCUGACGGAGCAACGCCGCGUGAGUGAUGUAGGUUUUCGGAUCGUAAAGCUCUGUUGUUAGGGAAGAACAAGUGCGAGAGUAACUGCUCGCACCUCGACGGUACCUAACCAGAAAGCCACGGCUAACUACGUGCCAGCAGCCGCGGUAAUACGUAGGUGGCAAGCGUUGUCCGGAAUUAUUGGGCGUAAAGGGCUCGCAGGCGGUUUCUUAAGUCUGAUGUGAAAGCCCCCGGCUCAACCGGGGAGGGUCAUUGGAAACUGGGAAACUUGGGUGCAGAAGAGGAGAGUGGAAUUCCACGUGUAGCGGUGAAAUGCGUAGAGAUGUGGAGGAACACCAGUGGCGAAGGCGACUCUCUGGUCUGUAACUGACGCUGAGGAGCGAAAGCGGGGGGAGCGAACAGGAUUAGAUACCCUGGUAGUCCACGCCGUAAACGAUGAGUGCUAAGUGUUAGGGGGUUUCCGCCCCUUAGUGCUGCAGCUAACGCAUUAAGCACUCCGCUUGGGGAGUACGGUCGCAAGACUGAAACUCAAAUGAAUUGACGGA
rnacentral:rRNA from 1 species